GGGUUGUGAGGUUAAGCGACUAAGCGUACACGGUGGAUGCCCUGGCAGUCAGAGGCGAUGAAGGACGUGCUAAUCUGCGAUAAGCGUCGGUAAGGUGAUAUGAACCGUUAUAACCGGCGAUUUCCGAAUGGGGAAACCCAGUGUGAUUCGUCACACUAUCAUUAACUGAAUCCAUAGGUUAAUGAGGCGAACCGGGGGAACUGAAACAUCUAAGUACCCCGAGGAAAAGAAAUCAACCGAGAUUCCCCCAGUAGCGGCGAGCGAACGGGGAGCAGCCCAGAGCCUGAAUCAGUGUGUGUGUUAGUGGAAGCGUCUGGAAAGGCGCGCGAUACAGGGUGACAGCCCCGUACACAAAAAUGCACAUGCUGUGAGCUCGAUGAGUAGGGCGGGACACGUGGUAUCCUGUCUGAAUAUGGGGGGACCAUCCUCCAAGGCUAAAUACUCCUGACUGACCGAUAGUGAACCAGUACCGUGAGGGAAAGGCGAAAAGAACCCCGGCGAGGGGAGUGAAAAAGAACCUGAAACCGUGUACGUACAAGCAGUGGGAGCACGCUUAGGCGUGUGACUGCGUACCUUUUGUAUAAUGGGUCAGCGACUUAUAUUCUGUAGCAAGGUUAACCGAAUAGGGGAGCCGAAGGGAAACCGAGUCUUAACUGGGCGUUAAGUUGCAGGGUAUAGACCCGAAACCCGGUGAUCUAGCCAUGGGCAGGUUGAAGGUUGGGUAACACUAACUGGAGGACCGAACCGACUAAUGUUGAAAAAUUAGCGGAUGACUUGUGGCUGGGGGUGAAAGGCCAAUCAAACCGGGAGAUAGCUGGUUCUCCCCGAAAGCUAUUUAGGUAGCGCCUCGUGAAUUCAUCUCCGGGGGUAGAGCACUGUUUCGGCAAGGGGGUCAUCCCGACUUACCAACCCGAUGCAAACUGCGAAUACCGGAGAAUGUUAUCACGGGAGACACACGGCGGGUGCUAACGUCCGUCGUGAAGAGGGAAACAACCCAGACCGCCAGCUAAGGUCCCAAAGUCAUGGUUAAGUGGGAAACGAUGUGGGAAGGCCCAGACAGCCAGGAUGUUGGCUUAGAAGCAGCCAUCAUUUAAAGAAAGCGUAAUAGCUCACUGGUCGAGUCGGCCUGCGCGGAAGAUGUAACGGGGCUAAACCAUGCACCGAAGCUGCGGCAGCGACGCUGAUGCGUUGUUGGGUAGGGGAGCGUUCUGUAAGCCUGCGAAGGUGUGCUGUGAGGCAUGCUGGAGGUAUCAGAAGUGCGAAUGCUGACAUAAGUAACGAUAAAGCGGGUGAAAAGCCCGCUCGCCGGAAGACCAAGGGUUCCUGUCCAACGUUAAUCGGGGCAGGGUGAGUCGACCCCUAAGGCGAGGCCGAAAGGCGUAGUCGAUGGGAAACAGGUUAAUAUUCCUGUACUUGGUGUUACUGCGAAGGGGGGACGGAGAAGGCUAUGUUGGCCGGGCGACGGUUGUCCCGGUUUAAGCGUGUAGGCUGGUUUUCCAGGCAAAUCCGGAAAAUCAAGGCUGAGGCGUGAUGACGAGGCACUACGGUGCUGAAGCAACAAAUGCCCUGCUUCCAGGAAAAGCCUCUAAGCAUCAGGUAACAUCAAAUCGUACCCCAAACCGACACAGGUGGUCAGGUAGAGAAUACCAAGGCGCUUGAGAGAACUCGGGUGAAGGAACUAGGCAAAAUGGUGCCGUAACUUCGGGAGAAGGCACGCUGAUAUGUAGGUGAAGUCCCUCGCGGAUGGAGCUGAAAUCAGUCGAAGAUACCAGCUGGCUGCAACUGUUUAUUAAAAACACAGCACUGUGCAAACACGAAAGUGGACGUAUACGGUGUGACGCCUGCCCGGUGCCGGAAGGUUAAUUGAUGGGGUCAGCGCAAGCGAAGCUCUUGAUCGAAGCCCCGGUAAACGGCGGCCGUAACUAUAACGGUCCUAAGGUAGCGAAAUUCCUUGUCGGGUAAGUUCCGACCUGCACGAAUGGCGUAAUGAUGGCCAGGCUGUCUCCACCCGAGACUCAGUGAAAUUGAACUCGCUGUGAAGAUGCAGUGUACCCGCGGCAAGACGGAAAGACCCCGUGAACCUUUACUAUAGCUUGACACUGAACAUUGAGCCUUGAUGUGUAGGAUAGGUGGGAGGCUUUGAAGUGUGGACGCCAGUCUGCAUGGAGCCGACCUUGAAAUACCACCCUUUAAUGUUUGAUGUUCUAACGUUGACCCGUGAUCCGGGUUGCGGACAGUGUCUGGUGGGUAGUUUGACUGGGGCGGUCUCCUCCUAAAGAGUAACGGAGGAGCACGAAGGUUGGCUAAUCCUGGUCGGACAUCAGGAGGUUAGUGCAAUGGCAUAAGCCAGCUUGACUGCGAGCGUGACGGCGCGAGCAGGUGCGAAAGCAGGUCAUAGUGAUCCGGUGGUUCUGAAUGGAAGGGCCAUCGCUCAACGGAUAAAAGGUACUCCGGGGAUAACAGGCUGAUACCGCCCAAGAGUUCAUAUCGACGGCGGUGUUUGGCACCUCGAUGUCGGCUCAUCACAUCCUGGGGCUGAAGUAGGUCCCAAGGGUAUGGCUGUUCGCCAUUUAAAGUGGUACGCGAGCUGGGUUUAGAACGUCGUGAGACAGUUCGGUCCCUAUCUGCCGUGGGCGCUGGAGAACUGAGGGGGGCUGCUCCUAGUACGAGAGGACCGGAGUGGACGCAUCACUGGUGUUCGGGUUGUCAUGCCAAUGGCACUGCCCGGUAGCUAAAUGCGGAAGAGAUAAGUGCUGAAAGCAUCUAAGCACGAAACUUGCCCCGAGAUGAGUUCUCCCUGACUCCUUGAGAGUACUGAAGGAACGUUGAAGACGACGACGUUGAUAGGCCGGGUGUGUAAGCGCAGCGAUGCGUUGAGCU
rnacentral:rRNA from 1 species